CUUUUAGUGACCUUAACUGAAAGCUUUGACCGGAUUUGACGCAGUUGUGGGAGUGGAGAAUUCAGUGACUACGAUGGAGCGAGCCCUUCUCCAGGAGUCAGGAUACUCCUGUGCAAAUCCCGCCUUUGCCCUUAAGAUUUGGAAGGACUUUGGCCAAAGCUGCUCUCUACGGGCUCAGGUUACCCGUUGAGAUACAGCCUGAGAUGUUUUAAAACCACAAAUCCAACGUCCAAACCAGUUUAAGCUGCAGAACGAUUCCUCUGGUGAAAGAUGUCUGAAUGCAAGUGGAGCGAGCCCACGUUCAGCAACAUCACGCCCUGAGUUAACGUGUUCGCCCUAUGCCACCGAAUACGGCUUUCCUCAAACAAAGGUUAGAGGAAACUAUGUUUGCUGCCCAUUCUGCCAUUUGACUGGAUUCCAGAACUCUCCAGGACACGCCCCUUGUCCCCUCACCUACGAUGUUAAUGGGUAGGUUCAGCUUGGCAGCAGAGACGAUGGCUGAGCAGAUGGUGGCAGCUCCUCCCAUGUCAGCCCUCAUGAGGUCCAUAUUUGCAGAGGCCUUGAUGGAAAUGCCGCCACUGUGGGGGGAAAGGACAGCAGCUGUAUCAGUGGCGAAAGAGAGGGCUCACGUCCCUUUAAGAAAGAAUAUAUAAGCUGAGGCAUCAUCUACCUGGCAAAGAAAAUUCAAGUUUCUAAAUUGAGAAUCUGAAUGACUUAACAUUUUAAAAGAUGAUAUCACAGUCUUUAUAAAAACAUAAAUGGGUGUCCUGGCUCAUUUUAUUUCUUGUUGAUUGAAACAUAGCAGUGUCAGUGGAGCCAUUACUAAGUCAUGUAAUCAGUGCUGUUCAAACCCAUCUCUGUAUUAGCUCAUUAGCUCCUGACACCCACAUAGACAUGUCUUUUCAGCAAAUUUUGUGAGUCAGUCAACUUAUUGAACCUGAGGGUCACAAACUGUUAAGAAAAGCCAACAAGCUCAGAAGACUGGGAGGAUCCCUCGCAAGCCACAGAAGGACACAAGGACAAUUCCUUCCGACACCCCUAAGGUGCACUCCAUCCUGCUGAUGGCAAAAUACAACCUGAAUCAGACAGAGGCAUGAGGAAGAUGCUCCCCAGAAGCCUUAAAGACAGUGCUCAAACCCGAGAGCCGAGAUGGGUUUCAGUUGGCAAGAAACCUAAACUACUGCCCCAAACAGGCUUCUCUGACUACCCAGUGACUUUUCUGCUUCCAGUCUGCAAGAGUCCAGAAGCCACAGGCUUUGCAGGCUGGGCCUGGAGCUGGGGCUCGCACUGUGAGUUCUGAGAUGUGCUGCUGACCUGACCUGGCGGUUCCAGAGUCUAUUCCCUGCACUGAGGUCUGCUUUCCUUAGAGAUUAGGUCCUAAUUCUCACUCAUCUCAGAAGCUCUGGAUAAUUAGAUGGCUGUCAAUUACACCUAGAAUUAAAGACGAUCCACUGGCUCAGAAUAAGAAAAGAAAUAACACUGUUGGUCCAAGAAGUCCAGGGAGAACCCCAUGGGGGCAAAGGAAACACACUGGUACAUGAAGUCAUUCUGUCUACUGGCCACAUCCUUCUCAACCUUCCAUUCAUAGGACUACAGUUCAAAGUAACCACCAAAGAGCAGCAGUUCUCACUGCUCACCUGUUAGACUGCUCUCAAAUCCAUCCAUUUCUUUUCUAUUGAAUCCAUUCUGGUGAGGACAUCAUCAUGUCAUGGAGAUGUCUGCCGCAGCUCCUAUACAUUAAGGUCUCCCUAUGUCAAUCUUAUUACCCCCUUCAUUUCAUUACCCACACAAUGACUAUUCUUACCAAAAUACAAAAUAUCUCAACCAACAUCCCAGCAGGCUUUCUGUGUGUGUGUGUGUGUGUGUGUGUGUGUGUGUGUGUGUGUGUGUAAAAAAUCCUAAGUGGAUUCUAAAAUUGAUAUGUAAAUGCAAAUGAUGCAGCCAAAAGAAUUUUGAAAAAGAAGAGCAAAACUGGAGGGUCAUGUUACAACAUUUCAAGACAGAGCUGUACUCAUUAGACACUUGGUUGCAAGGUCCUGGGGAAAUGACAAAGAGGCCAGAGUUAGACCCGUAAUUAUAUGGUCAACUGAUUUAACAACGGUGCAAGGUAGUUCAAUGGAGAAAGGACAGUCUUUCAAAGAGAUAGGUUUGCAACAAAAAGACAUCCAUAUGGAAAGAAAAAAAAAAAAACGCCAUGCUUUUCACAGCAUAUGCAAAAUUUCAAAAUGGAUCAUAGUCUUAAAUGCUAAAACCGUAACACUUAGAAAAGAAAACACAGACCUGGGCAUUGGCAAUAAUUUCUUAAACAGGGUAACAAAAGCAUGAAGUAUAAAAGUAAAAAUUGAUAAAUUACACUUCAUCAAAAUUAAAACUGCUCCUCAAAAGAGGUCACUUAAAAAAAUGAAAAGGCAAGCCUGAGAGUGGGGGAAAAAAAGAUACUUUCAAAUACUGACCACAAAGAGUUUAUUAUCUAGAAUACAACAAUGUAUACAAUGUAUAGUUUUAAAAACUUCUAACUCAGCAUGACCAUCAGUCCUAUAAAAAAAAAAAAAGGCGAAAGAUUUGGACACUUCACUAAAGCUAUACCAACAGCCAAUACUCGCAGUGAGAAUGCUGAACACCGUUAGUCAUUAGGGAACUAAUCACACUCAAAAUGAACCUCCGAGCUAUGCCACACAUCCCCAGGAAGAGCUAGAAUCCAAGAAUGACAGGAUCAGAGGCUGGGGAGGACGCGCCACAGCUGGAUCUGUGUGCAGGAAUGCAAAAUGGCACAACCACUGUGGAGAAGUUCGGUCACUGUGUAUAGUGAAACACGCAGUUACAAUGAAUAUACUUUGGUGUUCCCAUAUAACGGAAUACAGCCCAGUGAUAAAAGGCAACCAAUUACUGAUGUGACCAACAUGAGUGAAUGUCACAGACACGAUGCAGAAAGAAAGAAGGCUUAAAAGAAAAGAAGAAAAGAAGAAAGAAGACUUAAAAGAUCCCAUGAGAAUGAAUUUCUAGAACAAGAAACACUCAUCCACAGCCACACAAAGAUGACUGGUGGCCUGAGGCAGGGGUGGGAAAGGGACACCUGCAAAAUGCACCAGGCCGGUGUCUGGGGUGAUGGAAGGAUUCUGUUUUCACAGGAGCGGGGGCUGGUGCGGGGCUAUGCAUAUUUGUUAAACUCCUCGAACUGAAUACUUCAAGGAUGAAUUUCACUACAUACAUAAAUCCCAUGUCAUUCUUUGCCUUGGCUAGAAAUCCUUCAGUUACUUCAUACUGUUCUUAGAGCCAAGUCCAAAAUGCCACCGGUCCCAGAAGGACCCGGCUCCACCAACCUCUCCAGCCACUGCGUCCUCUUCCCUGUGAGGCUCUGAUGUAGGUGCUCUGUCAGCUCCAGGGGCUCCCUCGUCCUUCCUGCCUUGCAGCCUCCACCGUCCUUCCUUCCCCUGCCCGACUCCCUGCUGCACUACCCUCUCCUUCCCUUCCCAUCUUUAUCUGAGCCUCUCACUCCCACGAGGAAGCUUUCUACUUUACCAAGGUCUCCUUGCUCAAAAUUCUCACAGCAAACACUCAAGUAUGGAAUUGAAUUAAUAAACUUCACACUGAACAUUAACGCUGCAUUGAGAUAUGAGCCCAAGACAAUAUAAAAUCAUCACAAUUGGCAAGACCAUUAAACACAGCACCACUUUUGUGCUCUAAUUUUUCCUUGCCAUAGUGUUUUAGAAUAAACACUUAAGUGACAAUAGCAUAUGAAUGGAACUGAAAAAUCAAUGUGCAUAUUUUGAAUAGUAUGAGCUUGAAUCUUUUACUGAGGAUCGUUUGGAGCCCAAUAAUUCAAAGGAGAGGAGGUGGACCUGUGGGCGGAAGACACAGGAGGCUAACAUCAGGAAGACUCUGCUGGCGGCCAGCUCUGCCCAGGACGGGCGUUACCAUGCCCAGCACACUCCUGUAAGGACACUCUAUUCACGUACCAGAGUCUCUGAAUGGGUGUGCACGUGUACUGGAGACACCCAGAUUUAAUGGACACGUAGCAGCAUUUUCCAAAGUAGUUUCCAGGGACCAUGAGUCCCACGAGAAAUAAAUUCCCACCAAAGGGAAUUUAGAAAAUGCUACAUCCUGUACCCUGAGAAGUCCCGUAGUUAAAACAAAAUAAACGAAAAUCUCACGUGUUUUAUCCACCGCAAUCUUUGGCCAAGCAAUCCUUUUUAACUCUCACACUUAACUGGCAUCUCUGAGCUAGUAUUCAGCAGCCAACGCUUCCUCCGAAAUACCCAUACCAUCUUCGCCACCUCAGUUUCUGCUUGCUUGAAAUAAUCAGUUUCCAAUUCUAAGGAAUACUUAAGGCUUAACAGGAUUAAUGGAAGCCAGGCUGGUCAGCUAAACAAAGCAACGUGAAACAGGGCAGACAGGAGGCUGUAUGAUCCAAACAGCUGCAUCCCUGCAUCCACACGAGGGAUCUUUAACAUCCACACGGAGAAUCAAAGUGUAUGGU